GCGAUCCCGAGCGUAGUAGCACUACACCUCGCUCCAGGGCGCCGCGGCGGGCGCCGGCCGUGAAAAACCCAUACUCUUUCAGGUUGACCUCGGAUCAGGUAGGAAUACCCGCUGAACUUAAGCAUAUCAAUAAGCGGAGGAAAAGAAACCAACAGGGAUUGCCCCAGUAACGGCGAGUGAAGCGGCAACAGCUCAAAUUUGAAAUCUGGCCUCGGCCCGAGUUGUAAUUUGCAGAGGAUGCUUUUGGCGCGGCGCCUUCUGAGUCCCCUGGAACGGGGCGCCAGAGAGGGUGAGAGCCCCGUCUAGUCGGACGCCCAGCCUGUGUAAAGCUCCUUCGACGAGUCGAGUAGUUUGGGAAUGCUGCUCAAAAUGGGAGGUAAAUUCCUUCUAAAGCUAAAUACCGGCCAGAGACCGAUAGCGCACAAGUAGAGUGAUCGAAAGAUGAAAAGCACUUUGAAAAGAGGGUCAAACAGCACGUGAAAUUGUUGAAAGGGAAGCGCUCGUGACCAGACUUGCGCCGGGCCGAUCAUCCGGCGUUCUCGCCGGUGCACUCGGCCCGGCACAGGCCAGCAUCGGUUCUCGCGGGGGGACAAAAGCUCGGGGAACGUGGCUCCUCCGGGAGUGUUAUAGCCCCCCGCACAAUACCCUCGCGGGGACCGAGGCCCGG
rnacentral:rRNA from 1 species